rnacentral:rRNA from 1 species
UGGGGAAUCUUGCACAAUGGGGGCAACCCUGAUGCAGCGACGCCGCGUGAGCGAUGAAGGUUUUCGAAUCGUAAAGCUCUGUCCUAUGGGAAGAUAAUGACGGUACCAUAGGAGGAAGCCCCGGCUAACUACGUGCCAGCAGCCGCGGUAAUACGUAGGGGGCGAGCGUUGUCCGGAAUUACUGGGCGUAAAGGGUUCGCAGGCGGCAUGGCAAGUCCGAUGUAAAAGGCGAAGGCUCAACCUUCGUGAGCAUCGGAAACUGUCAAGCUUGAGUGGAGGGGAGGGGAGUGGAAUUCCUAGUGUAGCGGUGGAAUGCGGAGAUAUUAGGAGGAAUACCGGUGGCGAAGGCGACUUGCUGGACUUCAACUGACGCUGAGGAGCGAAAGCGGGGGUAGCAAACAGG